CCUCGGCCGAACUCCGAUUUGCGAUCUGUUUGUGCCCACGAACUCGUAUCGAGAUGUUCUACAACUUUCAUAAGGCCGUGCUUCAAAAUUCAGCCUUCAUAUUUCUGUAAAAUUCAUCAAAAUUUGAGCAAAUAUCAUAUUUCACAAGAUAAAACAAUAUAAGCACAAAACAACUAUUAAACACUCAAUUCCCUAUAAAAUUGACAUCAUAAGAAUAUUAAAAACCAUAAAAAAAAAAAUGAGUGUUAUCACAAAGUCGCCGAAAAAGUAUAUGGAGAAGAUGUUGGAAAAGUAAAUAAAGAGAAGAGAAGUUUUAGCAAAACUAAUACCUAAUAAUAUGAACGUCACUGCCAAAGAAAACUACGUCCAAAGAGGUUGGGUUUGAAAAAGAUAAAAUAGAGAGAUAAAGAAAUAGCAUGAGAUCUAGAGAACCAGAGGAGAGAAAAAGAGUUGGUUGUUAAAAUUGACCAUGAGAAAAAG
rnacentral:lncRNA from 1 species